rnacentral:rRNA from 1 species
UACGGAGGGGGCGAGCGUUGUCCGAAGUUACUGGGCGUAAAGCGCGCGCAGGCGGGUUGGUAAGUCCGCUGUGAAAGCCCGGAGCUUAACUCCGGAGGGUCGGUGGAUACUGCCAGUCUUGAAGGUGCUAGGGGGAGAUGGAAUUACCGGUGUAGCGGUGAAAUGCGUAGAUAUCGGUAGGAACACCAGUGGCGAAGGCGGUCUCCUGGGGCAUUCUUGACGCUGAGGCGCGAAAGCUGGGGGGAGCAAACGGG